AUUUAUGUAUUUUAAAUUUAUUUACGUAGUUCAGUUAAGACAAUGUAAAAUUUAAUUAGUGUAAAUUUGUUUAGACUUUCAAUAUUAUGUGUUGCUUCUCUUAAAUGAGAUAGAAACCCAAGGAUACAAAAAACUUAAUAUAAAAUAGUGUGAAGAAGAAGUAGUAACUGAAAUGAACAGCAUAAUAGAAUUUGAUAAGUUUGACUCAGCACUUGACAAUGUUUCAUCUAGUAACUCAGUAGUAUCUCUGCAGUUAAACAAAGAGUUCAAAAUAUUAAUGGUAAGAACUGUCAAAAACUUGUGAUAGCUAUGAUGAAGAGAUUUAUGACAAAUUCGCUCACGGCCAAAUCUAAUAUGGCAGCUGGAAAAGGCAAAGGAUCUUUUUAGCCUAACUAAGCUAUACAACUUAAUAAAAGUUUGUGCAUCGACUUCUCACGAAUCAUACACAGAGUCGAUUGUCGAUGCAAUAAUUGCUGAUUCGUGAAAACGGGCAACUUUUGCUUGUCUUAAAGUGCCUUAAAUCCAUCGUUAUAAUAUUACUUUGUUUGUAAAUUGUUUUGAAAAAUAAAUUUAAAAAUAACUUUUAAAUAAA